rnacentral:rRNA from 1 species
UACCCGCGCCCUGAGUGGUGCUCGUUAUUAUUGAGCCUAAAGCGUCCGCAGCCGGCCCGCUAAAUCCUUGGGUAAAUCGGGCAGCUUAACUGUCCGAAUUCCGGGGAGACUGGCGGGCUUGGGACCGGGAGAGGGUGGAGGUACUCCGGGGGUAGGGGUAAAAUCCUGUAAUCCUCGGAGGACCACCGGUGGCGAAGGCGUCCACCUAGAACGGAUCCGACGGUAAGGGACGAAGGCCUGGGGCGCAAACGGG